ACAAACCGGAGGAAGGUGGGGAUGACGUCAAGUCCUCAUGGCCCUUAUAGGUGAGGCUACACACGUCAUACAAUGGAUGGUACAAAGGGUCGCCAACCCGCGAGGGGGAGCCAAUCCCAUAAAGCCAUUCGUAGUCCGGAUCGCAGUCUGCAACUCGACUGCGUGAAGUCGGAAUCGCUAGUAAUCGUGGAUCAGAAUGUCACGGUGAAUACGUUCCCGGGUCUU
rnacentral:rRNA from 1 species